CCCUUAGAUGUUCUGGGCCGCACGCGCGCUACACUGAUGCGUUCAACAAGUUUCCUUGGCCGAGAGGCCUGGGCAAUCUUCUUAAUAUGUAUCGUGAUAGGGAUAGAUUAUUGCAAUUAUUAAUCUUGAACGAGGAAUUCCCAGUAAACGCAGAUCAUCAAUCUGCAUUGAUUACGUCCCUGCCCUUUGUACACACCGCCCGUCGCACCUACCGAUUGGAUGUUCCGGUGAAGCCUCGGGAUGAGGACUGGUGCCUUUAUUGGCAUGAGUUGUUCAGAACUUGUCUAAACCUUAUCAUCUAGAGGAAGGUGAAGUCGUAACA
rnacentral:rRNA from 1 species